rnacentral:rRNA from 1 species
AGAAUCAACGCUGGCGGCGUGCCUAACACAUGCAAGUCGCACGAGAAAGGGGAGCAAUCCCUGAGUAAAGUGGCGCACGGGUGAGUAACACGUGAAUCAUCUACCUCCGAGUGGGGAAUAACCUAGAGAAAUCUGGGCUAAUACCGCAUAACACUUACGAGUCAAAGCAGCAAUGCGCUUGGAGAGGAGUUCGCGGCCGAUUAGUUAGUUGGCGGGGUAAUGGCCCACCAAGACGAUGAUCGGUAUCCGGCCUGAGAGGGCGCACGGACACACUGGAACUGAAACACGGUCCAGACUCCUACGGGAGGCAGCAGUGGGGAAUUUUGCGCAAUGGGGGAAACCCUGACGCAGCAACGCCGCGUGGAGGAUGAAAUAUCUUGGUAUGUAAACUCCUUUCGAUGGGGAAGAUUAUGACGGUACCCAUAGAAGAAGCCCCGGCUAACUUCGCGCCAGCAGCCGAC